rnacentral:tRNA from 1 species
UGGGGUAUCGCCAAGCGGUAAGGCACCGGUUUUUGAUACCGGCAUUCCCUGGUUCGAAUCCUAGUACCCCAGCCA